AUGAAGUCUGCUCCAAAGCCUGCUGUUAAAGCAAAGAAGGCUCCUGCUUCCAGGAAGACCACUACGGAUAUACCCGCAGCUGCUAAAGCAAAAGGCCGUGCAUCCAGUGCCCCUGCUGCAGAGGGAGAGGCAGAUGAGAAUGGUCAUGUUCUUAGGAAGCUCAGACCGUUCAUUCCACUCCACGAUGCUGCUCGUCCUGUUGCACAGGACAUGAAGAAAAGGAAGGAUGUCAGAUUGAGAAAGUGGAGAGCCCUUGACCCAUAUGCUCUCCCCAAAGUACUUGGAAUGAACUCAGUUGACAGAGUACUGUUGGAUGCGCCCUGCACAGGCACUGGAACCGUUUGGAAGGAUGCACAAAUAAAAACAUCUAAGGACAUCGAUGACAUCAGGAAUUGUGCUUUCGUACAAAAGCAAUUGCUCCUAGCUGCUAUUGAUUUGGUUGACGCCAACUCCAAAACCGGUGGUUACAUUGUUUACUCUACUUGUUCGAUGAUGAUUCCAGAAAAUGAAGCAGUCAUCGACUAUGCCCUUAAAAAGAGAGAUGUGAAGGUUGUUCUUGUGGAUUAGAUUUUGGACGCCAGGGUAUAUUCAUCCGGUUCCGGGAGCAUCGCUUCCAUACGUCUUUAGACAAAACAAGGAGGUUUUAUCCUCAUGUCAACAACAUGGAUGGCUUUUUUGUAGCCAAGCUGAAGAAGAUGAGCAACACAAUUCCAGCAUCUUCCGAGUCAUCUAAAGAGCCUGAAGAAGCAGCCGAGGGUGUUGUUGAUCCUAACCAUGAUGAGGAAGAUGAGAAAGAUGUUCCUGAUAGACAACCCACUAGUCGAAGAAUCAUAAACAGGGAAAGAAGAAAAAAUGAACAAGCAAGCACCCCUGAAGGCGAGGGAGACCAGAGUCAGGCACCUGAAAGACCUGCAAAGCAGCUCAAGAACAAUAAGGGGGUGAAGAAAAGUAGUGGCCCUAAAAGUGCUGAAAUGAACGGAGAUAAGAAAGAAACAGGCAAUGAACAAACAGAGCAGGUCAAGAGCCACAAGGGUUCCAAGAAAAUUAAAGGCCCUAAAGAUGCUGGAAUGGAUGUAGAUGAGAAAGAAACACCCAGUGAGCAAACAGAGCAGGUCAAGAGCCAUAAGGGUGCGAAGAGAAGUAACGGACCUAAAAGCACUGCAAUAAAUGGAGAGAAGAGAGAUGGCCUGCUUCUGAUAAAAUUAAGAAGUCUGGUUCCAAGAGCGCCUCAGGGAGUCUGAUGAAAGAGAAGAAACCGGUCUCCAAGGAAGGAAACAAGAAAAGGAAAUGGCAAUUCAAGCUGAGGCGGGACUGGGAGGCAAAACAGAAGUCGGAGAAGAGGGCGAAGGUAUGAGAACUGGUGGUUCAAGAGAGCCACAUUAGCCUUAGAAGACGAGAUUUAAAGUGAAACUUGAUGUGCUAUAUAUGAAGAAAUGUAAAAGGAGCAACUGUACACUCAAUUUUGGUCUACGUACUUGUGGUGAAGCGAAAUUUUGUUGUACGCUGGAGGUGAUUGUGUAAUCUAAUCACUAUAUUUUUGUUUCUCUCUUGGAGAGUAUGACCAGUCAUUGUAGUUUUUCUCAGUGAAGUCAUCAUGGACACUGAGGCUCCUAUUACUGAAUGUUGUUCUGGGCAA